AUGACAUCAUGCCUGCCAUGAAUUACAGAUAUUAGGAAUCCAGCAGAGCAGAUGGAUUCCAGAUCAGCCCGUGAUAUCUUAUGAGUCCAACAAGCAUUUAUCUGUCCAUCAAAUCCACAAUUUGACUGCAUCCCCGAUGCUGAUAUGCCUUUCACGUAUUCUUGAUAUAAUACUGCUCUGCGGGUUGUAGUUCCCACAUCUUCCUCGAGGUAUUCCUUUGAAUAAUGGGUGUCUAAAUCAACAGCAGCCCUCUGUUCAGGAGUCUUUGCCUUCAAAAACCGGACAGCAAUUGAUAGAGUUUGACGAUCGAGCCUGGGAAUACAUUCAUAGCCUCCUCCCGUGACAUUCAAUAAACCCAAAGACAAAACUCUCUCAGGCACCAUUGCAGCCAAUUUGCAAGAAAUCAUAGCUCCCAUGGAAUGACCAAAGACGUGUGCUUUUUCCCACCCCAAGUGAUCCAUUAUAGAAAUUGCAUCUUUAGCCAUAAUACCAGUCGUAUAUUCUGACUUUUUAGUAGGCACAGA
rnacentral:misc_RNA from 1 species